UCCCCUGUCGUCCCUCGUUGUUCCCCGCCGCUUGAUGCCAUCCCCCGUCGUCCCCCGUUGUUCCCCGCUGCUUGCCGCUGUCCCCCAUCAUCCCCCGCCGUUCCCUGCAGUCCCCCGCUGCUUGCCGCCAUUCCCCGCCAUCCCCCGCCGUUUCCCCCGCUGCCAACGCUUGCCCCCUCCAGCUGCCAUCCCCCGUUGUCCCCUGCUGUUCCCCCGUCAUCUGCUGGCGUGCCCCACCGCUCUCCGCCGUCCCCCGCCGCUCGACGCUGUCCCCGCCGCUCGACGCCGUCCGCUGCCAUUCCCCAUCUCCUGCUGUUCCUCCCCUUGCCGCUGUUCCCCGUCGUUCCCUGUCAUUCACCGCCGCUCUCCAUCGUCCCCCAUUGCUCGCCGCCGUCCCCCGCCGCUCCCCGCCGUUUCCCCGCUUCCGCCACUUGCCCCCACUUGCCGCCAUCCCCUGUCGUCCCCCGUCGUUCCUCACCGCUCGACGCUGUCCCCCGUUGUCCCCUGCCGUUCCCCCGUCAUCUGCCGGCGUCCCCCGCCGCUCUCCGCCAUCCCCCGCCGCUCUUCGCUGUCCCCCGCCGCUCGCCGCCGUCCGCUGCCAUUCCCCAUCGCCUGCUGUUCUUCCGCUGCCACCACUCGCCCCUCCUUGCCGCCGUCUCCCGUCGUUCCCUGCCGCUCGACGCCGUCCCCCGUCGUCCCCCACUGUUCACCGCCGCUCGCCGCUGUGCCGUGUUGUCCCCCGCCGCUCACCGCCGUCCCCUGCCGUUCCCCCGCUGCCGCCACUUGCCCCCUCUUGCUGCCGUUCCCCGUCGUCCCUCAUUGUUCCCCGCUGCUCAAUGCCAUCCGCUGUCGUCCCCCGUCGUUUCACGCUGCUUGCCUCCGUCCCCCGCCGCUCACUGCCGUCCCCCGCCAUCGUUCCCUGCCAUCCCCCGCCGCUCCCUGCUGCCACCUCUCACCCCCACUUGCUGCCGUCCCCCGUGGUUCUCUGUCAUUCCCCGCCGCUCGCUGCCAUCCCCUGCCACUUGCCGCUGUCCCCCGCUGUCCCCCGCCGCUCCCCUGCCAUUCCCCGCCAUUUCCCUGCUGCCGCCGCUCGCCACCAUCCCCCGCCGCUCGCUGCCGUUCCCC
rnacentral:lncRNA from 1 species